UCAUGAUGAUUUCCUUUAGAUGACGAGUCUUAUACGAGUUUUCGAUGCAGACAACAUCUUUUUUUUAUACCAUUCAUGCAAAACUGACA
rnacentral:ncRNA from 19 species